GCGCGAAUUCGCCCUUAGAGUUUGAUCAUGGCUCAGGACGAACGCUGGCGGCGUGCCUAACACAUGCAAGUCGAGCGAAGAAUAUAUAAAGAAAUCUUCGGAUGGAAAUAUAUAUUUCUUAGCGGCGGACGGGUGAGUAACGCGUGAGGAACCUGCCUUGUACUAGGGGAUAGCCUCGGGAAACCGGGAUUAAUACCCUAUGAUACUUGAGGAUCGCAUGAUUUUCAAGUCAAAGCGAUUAAGCGGUAUAAGAUGGACUCGCGUCCCAUUAGCUAGUUGGUGAGGUAAUAGCUCACCAAGGCGACGAUGGGUAGCCGGCCUGAGAGGGUGAACGGCCACACUGGAACUGAGACACGGUCCAGACUCCUACGGGAGGCAGCAGUGGGGAAUAUUGCACAAUGGAGGGAACUCUGAUGCAGCGACGCCGCGUGAGCGAUGAAGGUUUUCGGAUCGUAAAGCUCUGUCCUAAGGGACGAUAAUGACGGUACCUUAGGAGGAAGCCCCGGCUAACUACGUGCCAGCAGCCGCGGUAAUACGUAGGGGGCGAGCGUUGUCCGGAUUUAUUGAGCGUAAAGGGUGCGUAGGCGGCCUUGUAAGUCAGAUGUGAAAUCUCACGGCUUAACCGUGGUAAGCAUUUGAAACUGUGAGGCUUGAGUACAGGAGAGGAGAGUGGAAUUCCUAGUGUAGCGGUGAAAUGCGUAGAUAUUAGGAGGAAUACCAGUGGCGAAGGCGACUCUCUGGACUGUAACUGACGCUGAGGCACGAAAGCGUGGGGAGCAAACAGGAUUAGAUACCCUGGUAGUCCACGCCGUAAACGAUGAGUGCUAGGUGUCGGGGGUCAAACCUCGGUGCCGCAGUUAACACAUUAAGCACUCCGCCUGGGGAGUACGGUGGCAAC
rnacentral:rRNA from 1 species